rnacentral:rRNA from 1 species
AUUGAACGCUGGCGGCAGGCUUAACACAUGCAAGUCGAGCGAGCGGCGGACGGGUGAGUAAUGUCUGGGAAACUGCCUGAUGGAGGGGGAUAACUACUGGAAACGGUAGCUAAUACCGCAUACCAUCAGCUUUUCCCAGAUGGGAUUAGCUAGUAGGUGGGGUAAUGGCUCACCUAGGCGACGAUCCCUAGCUGUUCUGAGAGGAUGACCAGCCACACUGGAACUGAGACACGGUCCAGACUCCUACGGGAGGCAGCAGUGGGGAAUAUUGCACAAUGGGCGCAAGGCUGAUACAGCCAGGCCGCGUGUGUGAAGAAGGCCUUCGGGUUGUAAAGCACUUUCAGCGAGGAGGCGUGAAACGCAGAAGAAGCACCGGCUAACUCCGUGCCAGCAGCCGCGGUAAUAG